rnacentral:rRNA from 2 species
UAUGAACCGUAAUGCCAUUAAUUUGGUGUUGCGGGGAAUUUGGACUGUUACUUUGAAAAAAUUAGAGUGUUUAAAGCAAGCUAACGCUUGAAUACAUUAGCAUGGAAUAAUGAAAUAGGACGUUCGAUCUUAUUUUGUUGGUUUCUAAGAUUGACGUAAUGAUUAAUAGGGAUAGUUGGGGGCAUUAGUAUUCAAUUGUCAGAGGUGAAAUUCUUGGAUUUAUUGAAGACUAACUACUGCGAAAGCAUUUGCCAAGGAUGUUUUCAUUAAUCAGUGAACGAAAGUUAGGGGAUCGAAGACGAUCAGAUACCGUCGUAGUCUUAACCAUAAACUAUGCCGACUAGGGAUCGGACGGUGUUAGUAUUUUGACCCGUUCGGCGCCUUACGGGAAAC